UACAGAGGUCCCAAGCGUUGUUCGGAUUCACUGGGCGUAAAGGGUGCGUAGGUGGCUGGGAAAGUUUGAUGUGAAAGCUCGGAGCUUAACUCCGAAAUGGCAUUGAAUACUUCCUAGCUUGAGGGUCGGAGGGGAGACUGGAAUUCUCGGUGUAGCAGUGAAAUGCGUAGAUAUCGAGAGGAACACCAGUGGCGAAGGCGGCAUCCUGGACUGGUACUGACGCUCAGGAGCGAAAGCGUGGGGAGCGAUCCGG
rnacentral:rRNA from 1 species